UACGUAGGGGGGCUAGCGUUGUCCGGAAUCAUUGGGCGUAAAGCGCGCGUAGGCGGCCCGGUAAGUCCGCUGUAAAAGUCAAAGGCUCAACCUUUGAAUGUCAGUGGAUACUGCCGGGCUAGAGUCCGGAAGAGGCGAGUGGAACUCCUGGUGUAGCGGUGGAAUGCGCAGAUAUCAGGAAGAACACCGACGGCGAAGGCAGCUCGCUGGGACGGUACUGACGCUGAGGCGCGAAAGCUAGGGUAGCAAACAGG
rnacentral:rRNA from 1 species